AAGCGCUCCUUCACAGCCACCAGCUUCAGUUCCAGGUCGAUCCUCUGCUCUUCCUUGGCACGACACUGUGCUUCCAGAGUGGCCACAGCCUCCUCCAAGGCCUUCAACUUUGCUCCUGAGUUCAGAGACACUGGGCCAUGUGUGUUCUACAAGGCAGGACUUCCUAUUCCCCAGAACACGUGGGAGAAACCCAGGCAGAACUACAGCCAGGGAGGUCUACAUCCUGGGGUGCUUUCCACGCUCUCUCUGGAAGCAGCUACUAAACUGCCUGCACCUUCUUUAAUCAUGAUGGAUGACAAUGAGGAGGAGGAGGGGCAAAGCCCACCUCUUCUGGGUGGGUAGCUAAGAAAUCUGUGUAAGAGGCCUCCCCUUAGUGCCGGGGGGGGGGGCAGGGGGGGUCUCAGGCUGAGCCACCCUUGUGCACUCGGGGCCACACCGUGGCAGGUACCUGGGU